rnacentral:rRNA from 1 species
GAACGCUGGCGGCAUGCUUAACACAUGCAAGUCGAACGUGAAAGUAGACUUCGGUCUGCGAGUAGAGUGGCGAACGGGUGAGUAACACGUAGGAAUCUGCCCUAAAGAGGGGGACAACUCCGCGAAAGCGGAGCUAAUACCGCAUAAUUUUUGUGCCUUCGGGUAUUAAAAAAAAGCAGGGGAUUGCGCUUCGGUGCGACCUUGCGCUUUAGGAUGAGCCUGCGGCGGAUUAGCUUGUUGGUGGGGUAAUGGCCUACCAAGGCGACGAUCCGUAGCUGGUCUGAGAGGACGAUCAGCCACAUUGGGACUGAGACACGGCCCAAACUCCUACGGGAGGCAGCAGUGGGGAAUAUUGGACAAUGGGCGCAAGCCUGAUCCAGCAAUGCCGCGUGUGUGAAGAAGGCCUGCGGGUUGUAAAGCACUUUCGGUGGGGAGGAAAUGCUCAAGGUUAAUAUCCUUGGGAGUUGACGUUACCCACAAAAGAAGCACCGGCUAACUCUGUG